rnacentral:rRNA from 1 species
UACAGAGGGGGCAAGCGUUGUUCGGAAUUACUGGGCGUAAAGGGCGCGUAGGCGGCCGCCUAAGUCAGACGUGAAAUCCCUCGGCUCAACCGGGGAACUGCGUCUGAUACUGGGUGGCUCGAAUUCGGGAGAGGGAUGCGGAAUUCCAGGUGUAGCGGUGAAAUGCGUAGAUAUCUGGAGGAACACCGGUGGCGAAGGCGGCAGUCCUGGACCGACACUGACGCUGAGGAGCGAAAGCCAGG